rnacentral:tRNA from 1 species
AAAUUUUGACUUAAAUGCAAUUUAAUUUCGAAUUAAAUUUUUAUUAAAGUCU